UAAACAAGGCCGGAAGAAGACAUUUCCCUCCCAAAAUCGGGAAAGAAGAUAAGAUUUUACACGCCCUACAUUAUCCCCAAGCCGUCGGGAAACCAUCCGCCGGCCGGCCGCCCGCCGCCGGAACGCUAUGAUCCAUCUCCGAGCGCGCAUCCUCUCUUUCCUCCUACACUCCCCGUCCCGUCACCCCGCCUCCCGCUUCUCUCCCAUCUUCGCCCUUCACCGCAACCUCUCCGCCACCACCACAUCCACUGCAGCAACCCCUUUCGCCGCCGAGGACUACCUCGUCGCCACCUGCGGCGUCACCCGCGCCCAGGCCCUCAAGGCAUCCAAGAAGAUCUCCCACCUCAAAUCCUCCUCCAAGCCCGACGCCGUCCUCGCCUUCCUCUCCGACCUCGGGGUCCCCCGCUCCGACAUCACCACCCUCGUCGCCGUCGACCCGCGGUUCCUCUGCGCCAGCGUGGAGAGGACUCUGGCGCCGCGCGUCACCGAGCUCAGCGAGCUCGGUCUCUCGCGCUCCCAGAUCGCGCGCCUCGUCCCGCUCGCCCUCUGUUCCUUCCGCAGCAGCUCCCUCAGCCGCAACCUCGACUUCUGGCUCUCGGUCUUCGGCUCCUACGACAAGCUCCUCAAGGCCCUCCGGAUGAACUCCGGCCUCCUCGCCGCCGACCUCGACAAGGUGGCCAAGCCAAAUCUGGCCCUCCUCCAGCAGUGCGGGCUAAACCCCUCUCUCUUCUCCGAGCCCUUCAUUUCCCGGGUGCUCGUCAGGACCCCGCAGCAGGUCCAGGACGCUCUGGCGCACAUUGACAAGUUCGGCGUGUCGCAGAAUUCGCGGAUGUUCCUCUACGCGCUCGUGGCGUUCACGCUGCAGAGUCCCGAGAAGCUCACCGACAAGAUUCAGGUCCUCGAGACGCUUGGCUGGUCGCAUGACGAUGUGCUGCUGGCUGUGAAGAAGAUGCCGGGUAUCCUGACCGUGUCCGAGGAGAGGCUGCAGAGGAAUAUGCAUUUCCUGACAAAGGUUGCUGGACUGGAGAUAUCCUACAUCGCUCAAAGGCCGGUGCUGCUCAAGUACAGCCUCGAGCGCCGUCUGUUCCCUCGGUACCGCUUGCUUAAGUUACUCAACGAGAAGGGGCUGCUGGAUCUCCGGUUCGAUUACUAUGCUGCCUCGCUAUCCGAGAAGAAGUUUCUUGCCAAGUUCGUGCAUCCUUACAAGGAGAGUUUACCAGGCCUCGCUGAUGUUUAUGCUUCUACCUGUGCUCAGAAAAUACCCAUGGAAUUGCUACCAAAGAAGGAGAACUAGAUAAUGUGCCAUGGCUGUCAUGGGUGAGUACCAUAGGAUUGCUGUGUUGGGCCCAAGAGUUUAAGGUCAUAUGGCAAGGGAUCUCCUUCUCCAUUGGCGACAACAUCUUCUCCCAGCUUCAUAUCAGGAUAUACAUGGCUAUGAUGUCUAUCAGGCUCUUCAUUAUGCAGAGGCCGGGUGUAUUGCUUGUUUUGAGUAAUAAAGCGCCUUUUAUCGAAAAAUCAUGCUCUUCAUUACGAGGUCAAAGUGACACAUAUGAAGUCCUUGGCUCUAAAAUAAUUCCUGAUGCCUUACAAGCCUAGUAGCUUAUACGGAGUAUAUAAAAACCAUCUCUGCUCUCCAAAUAUAUGGACGUCCGUUCAUCAUCACCAUACUAACCGAGACUAAGAAGCUUACGAUAG